AGUUCAUAUUUACUAAGCUUGAUCUUGUAAUUUUACAAAGUAUAGUCAAGUCUGAAGAGCUCUGUAUGUAAUGACACUAGAACUCAACUAAAAAAGCUAAGCAGAUCCAACUAACUGUAUUCUUUUUGCCAAUGAGAAACUGUGUUACUAGAAUUUGACCUGUCCUCAUGUCUAGAAUAAGUCUGAACUUCCAAUAUCUUUAUUAAUUAGUAUAAAGAGAUGAAAUAGGAAAUUGCACAUUACAAACUUAUCAAGAAGAAAAAAAUUGUCAUGAGCUAGAUGAAAAAAUGAGUGGCAAACAUAGAAUGGAUUUAGAACAGAAAAAAAUGAUAAAUGUCCUUAUACAAAUUAUAUAUAUUUUUUUCUUUUGCAACAGGGUUUCAGAAAUAGACCCAUCUUUCAUCCAAAUAAACGAUCAAAAUGGUAAGCA